rnacentral:tRNA from 1 species
GGUCUCGUAGCUCAGAUGGUGGAGCAUGUGCGUGUGGGUGGCGUCCAUGCGUGGGUUCGAAUCUCACCGAAGCUA